UGGGGAAUUUUGCACAAUGGGGGCAACCCUGAUGCAGCGACGCCGCGUGAUUUAGAAGGCCUUCGGGUUGUAAAAAUCUUUUGUAUGGGAAGAAAAUGACAGUACCAUACGAAUAAGGACCGGCUAAUUACGUGCCAGCAGCCGCGGUAAUACGUAAGGUCCGAGCGUUGUCCGGAAUCAUUGGGCGUAAAGGGUACGUAAGCGGAUAAGCAAGUUAGAAGUGAAAUCCUAUAGCUCAACUAUAGUAAGCUUUUAAAACUGCUCAUCUUGAGGUAUGGAAGGGAAAGUGUAAUUCCUAGUGUGGCAGUGAAAUGCGCAGAUAUUAGGAGGAAUACCGGUGGCGAAGGCGACUUUCUGGCCAUAAACUGACGCUGAGGUACGAAAGCGUGGGUAGCAAACAGG
rnacentral:rRNA from 1 species